GGGAGAGUAGGUUAUUGCCAGGGUUUUUAUUUUUAUACUUUAAACUUUGAUUUUAUUUUUAUGUUUUUUAAAUAUUGGUGUUUUUGAAUGUGUUGUUUAAAUAACAUAAAAAAUAAAAUAUAUAUUGACAUGUAUUAAACAAAGAUAUAUAUUAUUUUAUGUUGUAUAAAUAAAUUGGCAAAAUAGAGAUGGAAGAUAAAAAUAUGGUCAAAGUAAUAAGAGUCUAUGGUGAAUGCCU
rnacentral:misc_RNA from 1 species